rnacentral:rRNA from 1 species
GGAAGGAUCAUUAUCGAGCGAAUCCAAAACGAACGAAAAAGUCUCCCAACGUGCAUACCUUCCAUUUGCAUGUUGUUGUGAGCCACAUGGAAACUCGUACACACGUGGUGGCAGCCGUCUGCUGUGCUUUUUUUAGGCAGACAAUGGCUUACGAGUGGCCGUGUGCUUGUUGAACAACGGUGACCAAUUUGGCGUCUACGCCGUAUCUAGCUUCUGCCUGGACCGUCAGUUGCGAUGAAAGAUGCGGAGAAAGUUCCUUUGUUUUGGCUGCUAAUCAUCAUUGAUGAGCAGUAGCUUAAGGCAGAGUUGAGCAGACUUAAUGAGCCACGCUAGGUGGCCGCCAAAACCCAAAACACAACCGGUCUAUUUGACAUUGUUAUUUCAUUGUAUGUGUUGAAAAUGUACAAAUCUUGGCGGUGGAUCACUCGGUUCGUGGAUCGAUGAAGAACGCAGCCAGCUGCGAUAAAUAGUGCGAAUUGCAGACACAUUGAGCACUAAGAAUUCGAACGCACAUUGCGCUAUCGGGUUCAUUCCCGAUGGCACGUCUGGCUGAGGGUCGAAUUACGGUGAACUGUCUUCACGGUUUUUCUGGACUGUGAAGCAUUCGGCAAGCAAUUGCUGUUGUGUUGUUGGUGAUUCUAUCAUGGACAAUAUGACGAGCGGUUCCUUGCUUAGUGAUGACAAAAGAAGACGUCAACACCGAAUCUACUAUACUACUAAUACUAGUAUAUAGGUGAGGUGCUUUUGGUGGUCACAAAAGUGACAAGUAUGCCAUUUCAUAGGGGCAACAACCAGCAUACGUGAUAAGUUGGCUGGUUGAUGAAACGGCAACGGAAUGACGGACGUCUAUGUGAUCAAAAAUGAUACUAUUUGACCUCAGCUCAGUCGUGAUUACCCGCUGAAUUUAAGCAUAUAAUUAAGCG